GAUGAACGCUAGCGGCAGGCUUAAUACAUGCAAGUCGAGGGGCAGCAUUCCCGUAGCAAUACGGGAGAUGGCGACCGGCAAACGGGUGCGGAACACGUACAGAACCUUCCUUUAAGCGGGGAAUAGCCCACCGAAAGGUGGAUUAAUACUCCAUAGUAUGUCGAAGAGGCAUCUCUUUGAUCUUAAAGAUUUAUCACUUAAAGAUGGCUGUGCGGCUGAUUAGAUAGUUGGCGGGGUAAUGGCCCACCAAGUCUGCGAUCAGUAACUGGUGUGAGGGCCCGACCCGUCACACGGGCACUGAGACACGGGCCCGACUCCUCCGGGAGGCAUCAGUAAGGAAGAUUGUUCAAUGUACGCAAGUCUGAACCAGCCAUGCCGCGUGAAGGAUGAAGGCCCUCUGAGUUGUAAACUUCUUUUAUAUGGGACGAAAAAAGAUCUUUCCAGAUCAACUGACGGUACCAUGUGAAUAAGCACCGGCUAACUCCGUGCCAGCCGCCGCAGUAAUAC
rnacentral:rRNA from 1 species